AAUGAAUGAUGACCAAAUGUUUCGGUCCCAAAUGACAUGUGCUGAUUAUACCGUUAACAUUUACUUCUGACAUU
ensembl:snoRNA SNORD73 Small nucleolar RNA SNORD73